UGGCUUGUUCCUAACUCGCGGCCAAUCACCACACUGCCAGAUGGUGCGAAAGAUUUACCGGAAUUUCGUUUUCAAAUAAACCACAAGCUUGGAUGAGCUAAUGUUGUUCCACAUAAAAAAGCCACAAAACUGGACAAAUUAACGUUGUUUCAAGAAAGGAAACUUGUCCGGGCCAUCAGGUCUGCCCUCUCAGGGGGCACCAAUAUCUGCACCAAGACACUGGGGACGCCCCUGCCUCCCUUACCGCUGACUCCACAAAAUAACUUAGGGGGAAUUAUAUUUUCCUGUGGAACCAAAUCAUUUCUGUCAAGUUCAUCUCAGUUGCACCAAGAGUCUGAGGAUGGCAAUGCCUCUUCCGGCCUGUCAGCAAUGGUUGCAGUCUCUCCCAACACUGCCUGUGAGCGCUCCCGGGACAGGGCCACUAGCCCAGCAGGUCAGCUUGGGCUGCUUAGCAGGGACAUUUAGCAUGAUUUAUAAACCACAAUGGCAUGGGUGAGAGUGGCUUCCGGGAAGGCCCCACCCUCAGCAGCAGUGGCCAUAAAGCCUAAUGGAAAAAGCUUCCAUGAUUGGGAUCCUGGAUUCUCACCCCUGCUGUACCACUUAGCGGCAGAACCAUGAACAGAUUGAAAGACUCUAAAGAACAUGAUUUUCUCAUUCUUAGGAUGGAAACAGCCUGGGUGCGGUGGCUCACACCUGUAAUCCCAGCACUUUGGGAGGCCGAUGCAGGAGGAUAACUUAAGGCCAGGAGUUUGAGACAAGCCUGGGCAACAUAGCAAGAACCCCCCACUGCCCUUCUCAACAACAAAAAAGAGCCAGAUGUGGUGGCACAUGCCUAUUGUCCUAGCUCAGGAGAAUGAGGCAGGUGGAUUGCUUGAGCCAAGGAGUUCAAGGCUACAGUGAGCUAUGAUCAUGCCAGUGCACUCCAGCCUGGGUGACAGAAUGAGACCCUGUCUCUAAAUAGAUAAAUAAAUAAAUAAAAAUAAAAAAGAUAGAGAUAAUAAUAUUAAGCCAACAAGGUUGUUGUAAGGAUAAAACUGAGUUAAUAUGUAAAGUCCUUUAGUGCUGUGCUCAACACACAAGAAGUGCUCCUCCCUACAUGUGGACACUACAUGGGAUGAUAUGAUGAUGAUGAUGAUGAUGAUGACGAUGACGAUGUCAGCCAUGUGGCUGCCCCUCAUCUUAUAGCACUUAUCUUGUCCAUCUGGUGCUAAAGAGCCAGUCUCAGAGGAGGUAUGUCAUCUGCUUCCUAUGGUCAGCUGAGUUGAACAAAAUACCAUGAAGUGAUUCAAGCCAGGAAGUCAAUCAAUAUAACUCAAGCUGAAAGAGCCCUUCUUUAAAGAAUCUAAAGAAUUGCCUCAUCUUUCCUCCUUCCUUUUCUCAACCAAACAACAAAAUGUUUUGCCUUAAGAAUUAGAUGCCUUAAGGAUUUUGUUUUAAAUUAGAAUUUUAUGAAUGUCCUUCCUCUCUGAAAUUUUAUAUUAUAAAUAUGUGUAGAAAUACUCUAAAGGGAUGUCUGUGAUCUGGGUGUUGGGAUUUCAUCUUGCUACAUGGGAUAAUGAAAUACGGAACUUAUUUGAGCAGAGAUUCAGGUCUAUUGAGAAUUAUAACCAAAGUACCGCUUAUUGAGCACUUUCUAAGCUAAACGACUUUAUAUACUUUAUCGAAUCCUUACUAUAAAUUUAUAUUUUCUCCAUUUUGCAAAUGAAAAUUCUAAAGAAAAAUUUUACUAGUUGUAAAAAGGCCAUAUCUGCUUGGCCAUAAGACCUGUUUAUGCUAUUCUGUCUCACUAACAAAUUUUUAGAUAGAAGUCACUAGAGAUGAACAUUAGGCUAACCUUAAAAGAUAAUGAUGGAGAAAAAGAAAAACACUCAAAAUGCUUUACAAGUUUUACUUUAGUCUUCACAACCACCCUACGAGGUAGCAGCUUUUGUUGCCUUCAUUUUACAGAUGAGGGAUCCAAGCAGAGAAAUCAGUUGUGUGCCAGACUCACAUAGCUGGUGGCCCGUAGCAGAGCUGGGAUUCAAACCCAGGCAGUUUGACCUUGAGCUUUGUGUUAUGCUGUCAUAGGCAGGGGUCAGUCUCCUGAAGCCUUGCACAGGGAAGGAAAUGUUCCCUUCCUUGUGCAUUAGGCAAGCUGCCCUGAACUUCCUGCAGCACCCACCAUAGAAUAACCCACCAACUCCAUAGGAAACCUCGCUUAUGCACCCAGAUCUGGUCUGUGAUUUGCUACAGAAAGACAAGAAAUGGCCUGUGGCUUCUUGCUAGAGAGAAGAUACCAUAGAAGGAAGACCCUGCGAAGAUAAAGGGAAGAGACAACCAUCUGCAAGCAGAGGAGAGAGGCUUCAAAAGAAACCAACUCUGCCAGCACCUUGAUCUUGGACUUCUAACAUCUAGAACCAUGAGAAAAUAAAUUUCUGCUGUUUAAGCCACCCAGUCUAUUGUAUUAAUACUUUGUUACGGCAGUCCAAGUUGAGUAAUGUACAAGGUGACCCUGCAAUUCCCUAGAUUUGGAGUGCUUGGCUUUUGUUUGUAGCUCAAAGCCUGUCUCUUUUACAGGUAGCUCUCAGAAGACAAGUGAGGGGACACGCAGAAAGGGAGGUCCUUCUUCCCCCACUACAAUCCCUGAGCAUGGAUGGAGAUGGGAGGGCUGGGAUCCUCAGUUCUGUGAGAAAAAUACAAAGGACCAUAAGCCCUGGUGAGAAGGGAGAGUCUCCCUGAGGCACUAGUAAGGAAGUGACCUGGACCUGGACCUCCCACUCCAGGACAUUUUAACCAGCCCUGUGUCAACAGAGCAUGCGCAACCCAGAGGACAUUUUCUUUGAGCCCCACUUUACAGUCUCAUUUACCUGGAGCCUGGCUGGGCUCCAUCAGCCCCCAUUCAGUUAAGAAACUGCCAAAGGAGCAGUUUAUCCAUAUGCCUGCAGGAUAUUAAGGGAAAUGAAUUUUGUGUUCUGGCUGAGAGGGCCUCAGUGGACACUUCCAAAAGGAACCCUGAUUCACAGUAUUUGAUACUUGGUUAUUGGCUUUGGUAGAGCUUGGUUUUGUGUUCUGUCUUCUGAGAGGCAGGUACUGGACACCAGAAGCAGCAGGAUAAUGGCCCUGAAGGAGUCCUGACUGCAACCCCCUGACCACCACCACCGGAGAAUUUGCUCCAGCUUUACUCUCUUCUGAUUUUCCAGAAAUCUGGCAUUUUAAAUAGCUAUUUUGUGUUGGCCUCUUUUCUUCCUUUCUAAAAAGUAUGUUUUAAUUAAAUGUUCUUUGGUUGCUGGCUAAGCUAACCCCAAAGGUUGGUGUCCCUGGUGUGGGCGGGAGAGGUUGAGUUCACACUGCCUUUCAAAGCAGUGCCAGUCCCUUCUGCCCUCUGCGAAGCCCACGUGAAGGGAAGACAAUGGGUUACUGUGGGCCACAGAGCCAUGUCCCCUCACACUGCUCUCCCCUCAGGGCUGCCAGGUGUGGUUGGGGCCUGAGACAAGCUUCUCGCCUCAUCAUUCCUUUCGAGGCAACACUUAAAACAGAGAGGGCUUCAGAAGGAAACAGCACAACCAGCGUCUCAGCACAUGCGGCAAUUCAGAGAGGAAGUACGUUCUAGAACAAAAAUUAAACCCUAAACCUAUAGGUACCAGCUCCAUCCUGCCAUAAAUGCAUCAUACGCUUGGAACUUCCAACACAACCCCGAGAAUGCUGCUCGCUCCCACGAGCUGACGGCAGGCCUGGCCCUCCGCCAGGGAGUUCACUUGCAAAGCUGGAAACUCCCUAACUUAAAACAAUGUCUGGGUGUUUUCUGCUUCAUAGGGGCUCAGAAGGAAGGUAAAAAGCUCAGUAAAUUUGUUGUUUGACAUCUCACUCUGAGUACUGUGUGUUUCAUCUGCCUUCACUCUCACAAUUAUUAUCAACUUGCUGGCUAUAAAAGGCAGGGGCUACAAACUCAGUGAGCCAAAUGCAGUGCUUGCUUCCUAUCUGUGGUCCAUUGCAUAGCAGUGUGCUUGGGUGCUGCGUAAGACAAUUCCCCCCAACGCCUCCAAAAAAUAGGACAUGGUCCACUGCAGGAGUUCAUAAUCUAGGAGUCCAGAGAGUCCAGGCUCAUCAUCCCUUCAGAAGAAAGAAUCUUCAGGCCUCUGCUCUUGUGAGAGUAAUUUCUCUUAACACCGACAGUGCAGCAAUACAACUACCACCACCUUUCAAUUAUUGAGAGGCAAUCAUCUAAAGCAUUUGGCAAGUGAUCCACUUACGGAGCCAAGCUAAGGGAGCUGAAGAGAAGAGGCCGCCGCCCCAACCCAGCUACUCCAUGUGCUACUUUCUCUCGCAACUUUGAGCAAGAAUGUUAGAUCUUUUGCUGGGGGCCUUCGGAAGCCGUGAGGGAGCAUAUCCUGACACCCACAUAGAAGACCUGGUACCUAUGUUUCCACAUCACAAAGCAGGCCAACAAGCACACAAGGCCGCAGACCAAAUUAAGAAUCAUCUGGAUGAGUAAGAACAGUUUGAAAGUGCCAGUGACGCUGGUACAGUCCGUCACAUCCCGGUAAACAAAGGUCCUGCUGAGCGGCUCCGAGGAGGGCAGUUUGCACUGGCAAGAGUCGAGUGUGGUCUCACAGAGCUGCUUGACAGGGUUGUCUGGGGAAUACAACCUUACCCUGUCAAAUGCCUUUCAAUGUUUUUCUUCUCCUUCCUUACCCCCGUUUCAUCGUGUACCUGCAAUGGGACUCUAUUUCUGUAAAAGCAAGAUAAAGGAACACAAAAUGUACUCUUUCCCUAAUUGGAUAAAGUGAGAAAGGAUAUUAGAAAACCACCCAAUGGAACUGAUAAAAAUGAGUUGGAACUUGUGACCAGCAGCUGGAUGAGAGGAGUGUGAAUCCCCCAAAUCUUAUGGAUAUAGUGUGCUUUCUUUGAUGUUCCUGCCAAAGUGAGGCUGGAAAGCUAGGAAGAUCUGUAAGACGUGUGCCAGCACAAAGUGACUACAAUUCAAAAGUUCCAAAAACCUUGCUUGAAACAAUUGCAAAUAGCUCAUCAUUUUAAACCAGUGAACCCAAGGCUGAGUGUUUCAUCAAUUUACAGAAAACCAAGAAGAGAAAUCUGACAGCUAUCCCAGUGUAUGACUUACCAUGGAGAUCUUCAAAUAGAAUCACUUUGGUUUGGGUCUCAUUUUCAUAUUAUAACACAAAUUUGUGUAUGUGGGUUAAGAUUCAUAUUUGAUAGGAACUGCUGGGAAUUCUUGCAGUUAUAUCCUCAAAAGACAAAAUAAGCAUAACCAACAGAAUUGUGAAGCAAUAAAGUUGAUUAUGGAUGAAAACUGGGCUGAACAGUCAUAGGACAUGACUUGUUCCUUUGACCUAAAAUGUGCUUUUCUUUCCUUAUCUACCCAGUGUAAUGGUACUACUCUUUCAACCAUCUUGAAUUCACUCACACUUAUUCGUCAAAUCCUGCUCAGCUAUUCCCACUACCCACAAAGUGUACCUUUUUCGUAUUCCUUACUUUUUAUACAUUAGCUCAUUUUCCCCCAAACAAUGCAAUAAAGUAAAAAAUAUUACUCUAUUUUAUAGAAACUUGCAGCUCAGAAAGGAUAAGAAACUUGCAAGUUGAUCCAAAAUAAAUUUCUAAAAAGCAUCAAAAGGUUUCAUUUCUGCAUAAUAUUAAGGACUAAAUUAUAGGAAAACUCUCUCCCUAUAAAACACUGUAAAAUGCUGGAUAAAACGUAGCAUCCCUUAUAAAAUGAAAAAACAAUUAGCCCACUAGCACUGGAAGUCAUCAAGAAAAUUGUUCUGUCUCAACAGAUGCAGGGGGGCAGUUUGAGGUUUUUCUACUACUUUCCUAGUCCUGGAACCUAUUAAGAUGAGAAAGUAACAUGAAAGUGAUCCUGAAAAAAUAAACCAAAACCUGGCUAUUUCAAUAAAUAAAUUGUAAGGGGGAGAGAGACAGAGACAGAGAGAGAGAGACACAGAGAGAGAGAAUAGAAAGGAGAGACAAAGGGUAAAUUUUUGAGUAAAGGAAAUGUUAGAAAUAUAUGAGUCAACUGCAGUGUAUAGAUCUUAUUGAGAUCCUGAUUUUGACAAAUCUAGGAGGAACUAUUAAUGAGUUAAUCAUGGAUAUUUAAACAGUGGUUUGAUUCUAUUAAGAAAUUAACUUGUUAGGUGUAUUAUUAGUAUAUUGAUUAUUUUUUAGUCUUCAUCUUUCGACUUACAUAGCAAAAUAUUUAUAAAUAAAAUGAUAUAAAGUCUGGGAUUUAGUGCAAAAUAAUCCACUGUGUAGUGUGUGUAGUGUGUGGGUGUGGAGGAAAUAUAGGAGCAUACAGAUAAGACAAGAUUGAGCAUGAGUUGAUAGUUAUCAAGGCUCGGUGAUGAGAAUAUAGAGGUUCAUUAUACAAUUGUAUCUACUCUUGUGUAUGCUUGAAAUUUUUCAUAAUAAGUAAGUUAAGGAAACAAAGUGGUUCUAGGCCUGUAACAUCACUGGGACAUAUGGCAAGACAAACCCAUCUGGAAGGGUUGUACUCUCAAAUAGGCUAUAUCAAGUUAUCAUACAUAAAGCCUCUUGGAAGAUGAACUCACAAACCAAAAUUAGCAAACACUUGAAGAAUUAAUUAUUAGUGAAGGCUAGCUCUUACAUGCAUGUACACACACACACACACACACACACACACACACACACACACACACGCUCUAAGAAUCAGAGCUAUAAGAAUUCCAAAUAAUGGAAGUAAUGAGCAGAGCCUAUAAAAAGUACAUUCAAAACAAACACAUGAAGGAAGGAACUGAAAACAUAAAGAACAGGACAGUUUUUAAAGCACCAGGGAUAUGUGAAAAUAACAUCAGUAACAACAUCAGUGAGUUCUAGAAUGAAAAAUUAAAAUUGCUGGCAGUAAAAACUCAAAGGACAAGUAAAAGGCAGAUUAAACCUAAAUGAAGAAGGGAAAAGUGAACCAGAAAAUCUGAGAAAAUAACCCAAGAUACAGCACAGAGAGAUAAAGAGAGAUGAAACAUACUAGACAGGAUAAGAAAUAUGGAGGGAGAAUAAGAAGAUUCUAAAUAUACAUCUGACAGCAAUUCCAGGCAAAGGGAACAAACUUAAUUUUAAAAUUGAGUAUAGAACCCUAAACCCCAAAAUGAGAGAAUCCACAUUUUUCCCAAGCAUUCAAGAACUGUUUAUGAAGAUUGGUCACAAAAUAAGUCUAAUCAAAUAUCAAAUAAUUGAUAUGAAAAACACAUGAACUGAGCACAAAGCAACUAAAGUGAACUCAAUAAUCAAAAGACCAGAUAAAAGACAUUAGAGAAGACUCAAAUAAAUGGUGAGAUCAUCUUUGGUCAUGUAUAGAAAGUACAAAUCCCAGGAAAUUACCAAAAGUAUUUUUCUUGGAACUUGAAAAGCCUAUUCUAAAGUGUAUAUGCAAGAGAAAAUGGCUAAGAUUCACUGAGAAAAUUUUGAAGAAGAAUAAAAUGAAGGAGGGUGGGUUGGGGGUGGGCUGCUUAUCCAUCAUCUUUAUAACAAGAUGCAUUAUAGCAUCAUUUUAAUUUAGACAAUGGUAUUGGCAUAGUGAUAGCCAAAUAAAACAAUAGAACUAAGGAAAAUCACAAAGCAAAUCUAAUAUGGAAACUUGACAGAUGAUAAAUGGGUGUAACAGAUCACUAUGAAAGGGACCGAUUAUUUAUUAAACGGUGCUAAAACAAUUAUCAAUCCAUGUGAGAAAAAAUGUAUGGACCCUUCACAUCAUUGCAAAAAGAAACCACUUAUAAUAAAGAUAUGAAUACCCAAAAGCAAACCUUUAACAUUUUUAGAAAAUGGUAUAGAAAAAUAUUUUUAUGGCCUUGGAGUAGGGAAAAAUUUCUUUAAACUACAUCAAAUCCAUAAAAAAAAGAACUGAUAAAUAUAAAUAUAUGAAGAUUAAAUCUUUUUUCAUAACAAAACACCAUAAAUAAAAGAUAUGAUACCAACCAGAAAAAGAUAUUUGUAGUACCUAAAACCAUAAAGAUUAAGUAACAAAAGUAACAAAUCCUAUAAAUAAAUAAGAAACGAACAACCCAUAGAAAAUAUUUUUUGAAUAAAUAAAUGAUAGAACACAAAAUAAAAUGGCCAAUCAACAUAAAAUAUGUUCAAUUCCAGUAGCAACACCAAAAUGCAAAUUAAAACAAGAUACCAUUGCACACAAAUAAGAUAGGUAAAGAACUCUGAUUUACCACUGGUGGAGGUGAGGUGUAAGUUAGUCCAAUUUGGAUUUGUGGUAGUGACUUGGCAAUAGCUAGUAAUUUGACGAUGUCUAUAUCUUAUGACCCAACAAUUUGACUUCUAGGAAUAUGCCUUAACAAGACUUUAUGUGCACAGGGAGUUAUAGACAAGAAUAUCCACUGUAACACCGUAAAUGCAAAAUAAAAAAUCAUUUUUGAAAACAAAUUUUCUUCAACAAGAGAAUGAAUUAACUGUUAUAUAUCCCCCCCCCCCACCACCACCACUUUCUUUUGAGACAGGGUCUUGCUCUGUUGCCCAGGCUGAAGUGCGGUGGUGCGAUCAUGGCUCACCACUGUCUCAACCUCCCAGGUUCAAAUGAUCCUCCCACCUCAGCCUCCUGAGUAGCUGGAACAACAGGCAUCUGCCACCACACCCAGCUAAUUUCUCUACAAAAAGUAUUUUUUGUAGAGACGGGGUUUUGCCAUGUUGCCCAGGCUUGAACUCCUAGGCUCAAGCAAUCCUCCCGCCUUGGCCUCCCAAAGUGCUGGGAUUACAGGUGUGAGCCACUGUACCUGGCCAAUGUUGUAUAUUCCUAACAGUGAAAUUCAGUAUAGCAAACAUGAAUGAAUGAUAUCUGUGUACUAUUAUAAAUAAAUCUCAAAAACGAUGUUGAGCAGAAAUGAUAUGAUACCAUCUGUAUAAAAAUUAAAAUAUGACAUGUUGGUUAUGGAUAUAUACAAAUUUUCAAAGUAUGAAAACAGGCUUAUGCAUAAAAAAUACCAAAUUCAGGAUAGUACAUAUCUCUGGGGAAGAUGGGAGGGGUAGGGGAAUUUGAUUAAGAAAUGAAACAUGGGAGACUUCAAUACAAUGUAAUGUUUCCUUUCUUAAAAAAUAAUAAAAAAGCAAUUAUUACAAAAUACUAAAAUUUAGCAAAGCUAGGAAUGGAUAAGUGGGCAUUUUUUUCUAUGUUAUUAUGCAUUAUUUUCUAUGUUAUUAUGCAAUUGAAAUGUUUAUAAUUUUAAAAAGCAUAGAAUUGCACAGAAUUACUGACAUUUGUUCAAAUUCACAUAGAAAUGAAAAUUUAAAAAUCAUUACCAAAUAUUUUUUGGAAAAUGAUUCUACAUUAGUAGAGCCAGAAUUCUACCCUUACUCCAAAGCUGGAGUCAUUCCUCAAAUUUCAGACCCCCUCUCCUUUCUUUUUCUGAUCUUACCCUGAGGGUUCAUCAUGUUCUUCUCUGCGCUAGCACGGUACAUUGUUUAAGGCACCACCUUGGCAUUUUGUUUUUAAAACUAAAUUGCAGUUAGUUGUACCUGUGUUUCCUCACCCAGAGACUAAGCUCUUGGGGGCACCAUACCUGGUAUAUGAAAAUACAGAGGGAGAGUGGCUAGGGUGUGGCUUCUACUCCUAACUAACUCUUGUGAUGACUUACCAAAAACUAAUCACCAAGUUCUAUAAAUACUUAUUCUUGCAAAAUAAUCAAUUUCCAAAGAAUGUAAGAGAAUCAAAGAUUGUGUUCCAGCCUUUCUCAUGAAUCAACAGGAGGGGCAGAAUUGUUACAAACAGUAUUUGUGGGAAGAAAUAAACAACCUAUAGUUUAUUUGUUUCACUUGGGGAUUUUCAAGCCCUCAGAAGAGGGAAAGGAAUCUUGCUGAUGUGGAUUGAGCCUACUCCGGUGGUAUAGUCAUGGGCUGGAUUUCAUUACUUAGCCAUAAUUAAGUCAGUUCUCAAAUUAGGUCCCAUUCUAGAAAUGACUGCAGAGAUAAUUCUAUAUUAAACUCCUGGGUUCAUAUAUGUUGAAUAGUACAAUAAAUAUAAACAUAUUAAAUAGCACAGUGCAUAGAAAUUAUACAGUAAAUCAAUAUAAAUUGAAUUAUGUAACAUUGGAAUGGGAUUGUAAAUGAGAGAACCAUCUUGUUCAACCUUUAAAAAUAUUAUCAAGUGGCUUUUCUAAUUGAGAGUACUUUAUGAAAAACAGUAUGAGGGAACAUAAAGUAAUAUAUAUUAUAAUAUUACUUCUCCUUUGAAAGUGUUUUGUCCUUUUCAACAUGAGGAGGUCAGUGUCCCCAAGCAGCCUGCAGCCUCUCCUACAUUUCCCCCUCGCCUCCCAUGGCAACACGGGUUAGCCAGACACUGAGCUUUUUGUGAUGUGUGUGUGAGGACAGAGAGAAGGGGAGCAAAGCUUCAGGGAGGUCUUGAGGUGGAAAAAUUUGUGACGCACACGAUUUGGUGACUGAAGAAGAAUUCUUUCUUGAGGGUUCUAUAACACAAUAGUUACGGUCACCCUAUGUGCAUUUAAAAAUUCCUAGUUGGUCUCAAGCCCUUAAUGCACACCGAAGCCCUUUAAGAGGCUUCUCAAACUACUUGUUCAUGGAAAGAUUAUGAGACAAAGCCAACCUGUGUGGGUUUGGUCCUUCUGUUUCAGAACCUGACUACCAAAGAGCCUGGGAGAAGUACAUAAACUUAUUGAACAUGUAACUCAUAAACUAAAAGAUUCAAACUCUGUACACAGAAUUCUGUAUGCGGUCAUGAAGAAAUCCCUUCUCAUUUAUGAUCAUACAUUUGCCUUAGGGAGUCCGAGUUUGCCCUCUUCACUGCCUUGGGUGCCCCACUAUCUUCCUGAGGUAGGCACAGUCCUCCUGCAAGUUUCUCCCUGAGAGAAGAGCACCUCCAACCUCCAACAGAAUUGAUGAGGACUGAAAUGCUGUUGCCCUUGUCUUAGAAAAUGCCUCCUUCAUAGCUUUCCUGGCAUAGCUAAAUGUGAGAUAGGGCUAAGCCUGUGAGAUCAGGCUAAUGGCCUGAUAUGCAUGCCACACCUGAUACUUUAGAAGGAAGCCAGCCAAGGAAGUGUUUUUUCCCCCACUUAGUAAUAAAGCUAAAAUUCUCUCGCUCGUCAAAGUCUAGUUAACACAUUAGCAGCCCCCUCCCCCUUUUCUGGUCUCCUGUCAUUAUCUUCCAUACAAGAGAGAGGGCUUGAUAAUAACAUAUCUUAAAGGGGUUUUUAAUUGCUCCUUACAGUGAAUGCUGAAUCUAACGCUUUAAAAACAACUGAGUAGAAUGCCACUUAAAAGCGCUUCCUCCAGGUUUCUCACCACCUCUCUCAGUACCACGGCACUCCCAGCCAGGGGAGAGUUGCUCAUUUCUGCAAAGAUUAGAAGCAGGUCCAACAGAACUUCUUCAGCAGAAUCUGAGAAUGCUCAUUUGUGAACAAACUGUCUGCUUUCCAACGUCCCGUCACUUACUGGACUUUUGCCAGCCCCAGGAAACACCAUAAUGAAACACUCACAUUUAUGAAAUUCACAAUUAGGGACCGUGGCUCUAGCAACAUUAGCUCAGAGAGCAUCAACUUUAAAUAUGCUCAAAAAUCAAACUGGAGAGCUUACAGUAUCCCAUCGUGGCCAUCCCUUUUCGUUUUGGAACUGAGAUUGGACCAAUUGUUAUGAAAGGCUGCAUGUUUUAGUCUUCCCUGGUCUUUCCCUCUUGGGUGGCUUGGGUUUGUGCAAUACAGUACUUAGUGAAGGAAAAGCAGAGCCCAGCUCAGGACUUCUUAAGUGAGGGAACAGAAUCCAAUGAGAAGCCCUUAAAUGUGUGUCAAAAUGAAGAUCUACCAAAGAGUGAAGGCACCUACUAAAGGCUAUUACCUCAUAAGGCUCAAAGGGCGGGUGGGGGGUGCCCACAGUAUGCAAUCACCACCCCCCACAGGACAGCAGGCUUGGUCAAUGGCUGAACAUAUAAGCAUUCCCCAAUGGUACCACUCAGCCAGCCACCUUUGCAUCAGAAGCCAAAGUAUCCUUGAGCUACAUCUUGACAUCAGGAUACUCCCUGGAGCAUAAAGAAAUGCAGGAAUUUACAGCGUGGAGGUUCCUAAGCCUUAAAGAGUUAAUGCAGCAAAGGAAAUGCCUAAGUUAACCUUAGAAUUGUAUUCACUAGCUAGAUUUACUUGAUUUUAUUUUUACAGAAAUUUGACAAAAGAAGCAAUCUGUAAAUGCAAUGAAAACAGCUUCCUCCAUAUGUCUCACUACUGGCAUGAGCACGGAGCCGCGCCACCCCAUCGUACCUCCGUGUGUCAGAUUACGGGCUCAGAAUACCCCUCGGAAACACUCAGACUUCUAGCUGUUCCAAGAAAGCCGUAGGGCUUUCAAUAAUAAGCUGUAAAACGAGCUUAAGAGUCACUGAGGUUGCUGUGCAAAUGUAUAACCCUCACCGGAAAUGCUAUGGACUGAAUUGUGUCCCCGUAAGUCAUAUGUUGAAGCUGUAACCUCAAAAGUAACUAUAUUUGGAGAUAGGGCUUUUAGGAGGUAAUUAAGGUUAAAUAAGAUCCUAAGCAUGGGGUCCUAAUCCAACAGGACUGGAGGAUUCAUGAGAAGAGGAAGAGAAAGAGAUCUCUUCUUCUCUUCACAUGCAUGAACUGAGAAAAGACCAUGUGAGCACACAGCAAGAAGGCAGCCGCCUGCAAGCCAGGAAGAGAACCCUCCCUAGCCCCUGACCAUGUUGACACCCUGAUCUUGGACUUCCCGUCUCCAGAACUGUGAGAAAAUGAAUGUUUGCUGUUUAAGUCACCCAGUCUACGGUAUUUUGUUAUAGCAGCCUGAGCCGACUAAGACAGAAAGAAAAAUGUAUUUUAGUUAAUGCCAUAUGUGUAGGUGUACACAUAUGAAUUUUAAAAUUAACCAGGGUGAUGGAGUGAGCUGCUUCACUCAGGCAUCUGACAGUUACUCUUGCCAAGUUUUAUCUCAAUACACAGAGAUCUGAGACUGCAUCCAAAGCAUCUGAAAGAGGGUGUGCCUAUGGAAUAGGUUUUUAUAUAGCUUAUGCUGUAAAGCCUGUUCCUAGCAUCUAUUUUUUUAAAAGAAGUUCACUGUAAGCUUAUGAACUCAUCGUGAUAAACCUAGACUUGAACAUUUACAGCAAAUAAUAACUGGAAGGUUAAACUAUGACAUCAUGAGGUCCCAUCCAGCUCUGGAUUUUGAUGGACAUUUUUUGACCAGUACUUCCUUAGUUUGCCAGGAUGGAAGACCUAAAAAUGAACUGCAUUUUGCAGUGAAUUAUACCUAAUUAAAGUUUAAUGACUAGAUUACAUUCCUGUCUGAUAUGGUUUGAUUCUGUGUCCCCACCCAAAUCUCUCUUGAAUUGUAAUCCCCAUGUGUUGAGGGGGAAACCUGGUGGAAGGUGGUUUGAUCAUGGGGGUGGUUCCCCCUAUGCUCUUCUCAUGAGAAGAUGAGAUAGUGAGUUCUCAUGAGAUCUGAUGGCUUAUAAGUGGCAGUUUCCCCAGUGCUCUCUCUCCUGCAGCCCUGUAAGAUAUGAUUUGCUUCUCCUUUGCCUUCUGCCAUGAUUGUAAGUUUCCUGAGGCCUCCUCAGCCAUGUGGAAUUGUCAGUCAAUUAAACCUCCUUUCUUUAUAAAUUAGUCUCACGUAGUAUCUUUAUAGCAGCGUGAGAACAGACUAAUACACUAUCCUACAGUAACAUAGAAACAUAUAUGCUGAACUCUUCAACAUAACCUUAUGUGUUUCCUUUUAAUGUUAUCAUUAACCCUUCAGGCCACAAUACAACCAAGUGGAUCCAGUGAAAGACCAUCCUUAAUAGAAAUGUCUCAGAUACAGCUAAAGGCAAGAGCAAAUCUAGAAAACACCCAUUUUCUCAGACCACACUGAAAGAGGGCAUCAUAUUGGCAAUCUAUCUAUUCAACUGUUAGACCAAACAUUAGAGAAACCUAUGCCAUUGUUUUCUUCGUAAAAGGUUAAGAGUGGUAAUAUCAACAUCUAGCAUUCAGCCACAUCAAUCCUAAUAUGUCCUAUUCUAGUUAGGAGAGUGCAUAUAAGUCAAAUGACCUUCCUGAGUCCUGCCAUUUUAUAACAUGAAAUAAAAAAUCUAAGUAAUGUUAAGUUAAUAUGUUCUGAAUUCUUCUAGAAUCCAGAAGCCAAAAUGGAGUAAUAACACAUUCCUUACUAUUACCUCAUAGUUGUCUUAAAUGUCAUAAAUAAAUUUGUCUGUGUUUGAAUAUACAACUACAGUCAGCCCUCUGUAUCAAUGGGUUCCAUAUCCAUGAAUAUAAUCAACCACGGAUCAAAAACAUUUGGAUAAAAAAAGGAUGGUUGUGUCUGUACUGAACAUGUACAGACCUUUUCAUGUCAUUAUUCCCUCAAUAAUAUAGUGUGUCAACUGUUUACAUAGUAUUUAUAUUGUAUUAGGUAUUAUAAGUAAUCUAGAAAUGAUUUAAAGCAUAUGUAGGAUGUGCAUAAAUUAUAUGCAAAUACUACACCAUUUUAUAGCAGGGACUUGAGUAUCUGUGAAUUUUGGUAUCAGGAGUCCCAGUACCAAUCCCCUGCAGAUACUAAGGGAUGACUGAAUAUAGCUUAAAAAUGGGCAUAUGCAUGUUCAAACAGAAGCUCUGAUAAUGGCAAGUAUGGAAUAAAUAGAUUUCAGUUCAACAUUUAUUAAUUA
rnacentral:lncRNA from 10 species